GACGAACGCUGGCGGCGUGCUUAACACAUGCAAGUCGAACGGAAAGGCCCUGCUUUUGUGGGGUGCUCGAGUGGCGAACGGGUGAGUAACACGUGAGUAACCUGCCCUUGACUUUGGGAUAACUUCAGGAAACUGGGGCUAAUACCGGAUAUGAGCUCCUGCUGCAUGGUGGGGGUUGGAAAGUUUCGGCGGUUGGGGAUGGACUCGCGGCGUAUCAGCUUGUUGGUGGGGUAGUGGCUUACCAAGGCUUGGACGGGUAGCCGGCCUGAGAGGGUGACCGGCCACAUUGGGACUGAGAUACGGCCCAGACUCCUACGGGAGGCAGCAAUGGGGAAUAUUGCACAAUGGGCGGAAGCCGUAUGCAGCAACGCCGCGUGCGGGAUGACGGCCGUCGGGUUGUAAACCGCUUGCGCCUGUGACGAAGCGUGAGUGACGGUAAUGGGUAAAGAAGCACCGGCUAACUACGUG
rnacentral:rRNA from 1 species